rnacentral:lncRNA from 1 species
CUGUCACGCCCAUUAUCCUCCGGUGCCUCGGCUCAAAUGUCACUAAGUAACUUACACACGAGAUGAAAGGAGCGGCGCGCGGAGCGGGAGCAAAGCUAGGCGUAGAGUAGAGAAACUUCACCUAAAGUAUCGAUCCGAUACCAAUACUAGCGUUGAUUACGAGUGAUCCUCCCACACCUGUCGUGAAGCUUUCGGGAGUAAGCUGCUGGAUUCACUCUUAUGAGUAAGUUAAUGUAACAUAUUUUUAUUCCGAAUCAGACUGAUUUCACUCGAGACGAUUCAAGAUCCGCUGCGGAAAGAGAGGGAAAGUUAAAGCUGCGCUAAUCUUUAUUCUGACGCUUUUCUCUGUUUACAGAUGAUCAGAUGGUGAGAGUAUUUAACACCGGCCUGUCAGCAAUGACCUGAACCCGGACUCCAGCAUUUCUCAUGACACGAUCCUCUGAGAGAUCUGCCUUUACAUGCUGAGAUCCGAUGGAUCCAUGUCAAGAUCCCGAGGGUCCUGUGUUUCAGGGAUGGGAUGGGCCUGCCUUCUCAGAGCAGGACUAUCUGGAUUUAUACACAGCCCUUUCUGACUCCGCAGCCGAUCAGAGGAAUCAGGAGCGGGUGAAGAAUGAGGAAAGCGCUGCAGGAUCAGAGCUGAAGCAGCCUGUUACACACCGUGACGGCGUGAGCAUGGACGCUUGGAGCAUCACUUUAAUUGAUUCCGCACAAGGCAGUAACAGCAGAACUGCAUCGCUCUGCAUGUCAACAUCGCAGUAA